CGUACGUUUCUUAAAAGAAAAAUAAAAAAAAUAAAUUUUAUAUACAAAAAUAUAAAUACUCACGUACAGACCACCCACAUACAAUUUAUACAAUUUUAGGGCAAAUCAUUUCAGCCUCCCCAAUCGUCUCCAUGUCUAUUCUCGUUCUCAACUCUGAACUUACCCUCUUUCUAUCUCUGCAACUGCAAACUACAAAAUCUACAAGAAUCAGAACCCAUAUCGGCAUAUCAUUUCAGAUUGUUCAAAAAAUCAAAACCCAUACCCUUCAGUUUCCAUCGCCCGCUGUUCCAGUUCGGGUUCGCCGUUCGCAAGCUUCAGCCUCUGUCCCGCUGUCUCUCAACUCUUAAGCCCUCUCUCUGCAACUGCUAACUUGAUCUCCCUUUGCAAGAUUUGAAAGACUAAUUGGUAAAUUUGGGUUGAACUUGAGUCUUGAACAAGCUGAAGGCCCCUUAUACAGGAUUUGAAAGACUAAUUGGCAAAUUUGGGUUGAACUUGAGUCUUGAACAAGCUGAAGGCCCUUAUACAGCUGAUGGAGAGAACCCUGGGCAGUUUAUUCCAUGCACUACUGUGUGGUGGAAGAGUUUUAAUCUUGUUUGCUUAAUCCUCUUGCUGUAAAAGGUCAAAGCUAGGAUUGCGGGAUUGCGGUUCUCGUUACUUUUUGUUGCUGUUAUAUUUUUUUAUAUGGCUCAUGAAGAAGUUGCAUAUAUGGAAGAGAGAGACUAAAACAGAGCAAGAAGAUAUGAAUUUUUUUUUGGUCUUAUUUUGGUUUAGUAAAGAUACUAGGUGUGGAUCAUGUACUUUGAAAUUUGUAUAUGGUUAAUUUUUGUAUAAAAUGAUGAUUUGAAAUUGGUUA